AUAGCUUAGGAGCAGUCCCAAGUUCUCGCCUAUGAAGAUGUAUUGUGUUUUAUAAUAAGCUCAGCAUUUUGUGUACUGCUAUUUGAUGGUAACUAGUAACUACCCUAGCUAUUUGCUGAGUAGCACUAAAGGCAAGGCCAUUUAUUUAAAUUUGUGUUGUUUUGUUUCUGAGUUGGUGUACUCACGUCCCUCCUUUGUUCUUUCUAUAUAUGUUUCCUAUUAAUAAAAACAAUUUAUUAGUUGGGCCGAAUUUAAAAAUUUUCCAUCCAAG
rnacentral:lncRNA from 1 species